rnacentral:rRNA from 2 species
GGGGGGUGCUAUACAUGCAGUCGAGCGAAUGGAUUAAGAGCUUGCUCUUAUGAAGUUAGCGGCGGACGGGUGAGUAACACGUGGGUAACCUGCCCAUAAGACUGGGAUAACUCCGGGAAACCGGGGCUAAUACCGGAUAACAUUUUGAACCGCAUGGUUCGAAAUUGAAAGGCGGCUUCGGCUGUCACUUAUGGAUGGACCCGCGUCGCAUUAGCUAGUUGGUGAGGUAACGGCUCACCAAGGCAACGAUGCGUAGCCGACCUGAGAGGGUGAUCGGCCACACUGGGACUGAGACACGGCCCAGACUCCUACGGGAGGCAGCAGUAGGGAAUCUUCCGCAAUGGACGAAAGUCUGACGGAGCAACGCCGCGUGAGUGAUGAAGGCUUUCGGGUCGUAAAACUCUGUUGUUAGGGAAGAACAAGUGCUAGUUGAAUAAGCUGGCACCUUGACGGUACCUAACCAGAAAGCCACGGCUAACUACGUGCCAGCAGCCGCGGUAAUACGUAGGUGGCAAGCGUUAUCCGGAAUUAUUGGGCGUAAAGCGCGCGCAGGUGGUUUCUUAAGUCUGAUGUGAAAGCCCACGGCUCAACCGUGGAGGGGUCUCAUUGGAAACUGGGAGACUUGAGUGCAGAAGAGGAAAGUGGAAUUC